AUGUGAUGAUUUUUUUUAGAUGACGAGUCUGAAACGGAUGAAAGCAUGUUAUAUGUUUUCUGAAGAACAAGACGAGACUUAUCAAAUUAUACCAUUCAUGCUUUUCUGAUU
rnacentral:snoRNA from 1 species